rnacentral:rRNA from 1 species
CCUACGGGUGGCAGCAGUGGGGAAUAUUGGGCAAUGGGCGAAAGCCUGACCCAGCAACGCCGCGUGAAGGAAGAAGGCCUUCGGGUUGUAAACUUCUUUUUACAGGGAAGAGCAGAAGACGGUACCUGUCGAUUAAGCCACGGCUAACUACGGGCCAGCAGCCGCGGGAAUACGUAGGUCGCAAGCGUUGUCCGGAUUUAGUGGGUGUAAAGGGCGUGUAGCCGGGAUGACAAGUCAGAUGUGAAAUCCGGGGGCUCAAACCCCGAACUGCAUUUGAAACUGUUGGUCUUGAGUGUCGGAGAGGCAGGCGGAAUUCGUGGUGUAGCGGUGAAAUGCGUAGAUAUUAGGAGGAACACCAGUGGCGAAGGCAGCCUGCUGGACGACAACUGACGGUGAUGCGCGAAAGCGUGGGUAGCAAACAGGAUUAGAUACCCGGGUAGUC